UUACUUAGUGGCGGACGGGUGAGUAACACGUGAGCAACCUGCCUGUAAGAGGGGGAUAACGUCGGGAAACUGACGCUAAUACCGCAUAACAUCAGAGAUUGGCAUCAAUUUUUGAUCAAAGGAGCAAUCCGCUUAUAGAUGGGCUCGCGUCCGAUUAGCUAGAUGGUGAGAUAACAGCCCACCAUGGCGACGAUCGGUAGCCGGACUGAGAGGUUGAUCGGCCACAUUGGGACUGAGACACGGCCCAGACUCCUACGGGAGGCAGCAGUGGGGGAUAUUGCACAAUGGGGGAAACCCUGAUGCAGCGACGCCGCGUGAGGGAAGAAGGUUUUCGGAUUGUAAACCUCUGUCUUCAGGGACGAUAAUGACGGUACCUGAGGAGGAAGCCACGGCUAACUACGUGCCAGCAGCCGCGGUAAUACGUAGGUGGCAAGCGUUGUCCGGAAUUACUGGGUGUAAAGGGAGCGUAGGCGGGUAUGCAAGUUGAAUGUGAAAUCUAUCGGCUCAACCGAUAGGCUGCGUUCAAAACUGUAUAUCUUGAGUGAAGUAGAGGUAGGCGGAAUUCCUGGUGUAGCGGUGAAAUGCGUAGAUAUCAGGAGGAACACCGGUGGCGAAGGCGGCCUGCUGGGCUUUUACUGACGCUGAGGCUCGAAAGCAUGGGUAGCAAACAGGAUUAGAUACCCUGGUAGUCCAUGCUGUAAACGAUGAUUACUAGGUGUGGGUGGACUGACCCCAUCCGUGCCGGAGUUAACACAAUAAGUAAUCCACCUGGGGAGUACGAUCGCAAGAUUGAAACUCAAAGGAAUUGACGGGGGCCCGCACAAGCAGUGGAGUAUGUGGUUUAAUUCGAAGCAACGCGAAGAACCUUACCAGGUCUUGACAUCGUGCGCAUAGUCUAGAGAUAGAUGAAGUCCCUUUUGGGACGCAUAGACAGGUGGUGCAUGGUUGUCGUCAGCUCGUGUCGUGAGAUGUCGGGUCAAGUCCCUCAACGAACGCAACCCUUACGAUUAGUUGCUACGCAAGAGCACUCUAAUAGGACUGCCGUUGACAAAACGGAGGAAGGUGGGGAUGACGUCGAAUCAUCAUGCCCCUUAUGACCUGGGCUACACACGUACUACAAUGGUGAUAAACAGAGGGAAGCAAAACGGCGACGUGGAGCAAAUCCCUAAAAGUCAUCUCAGUUCGGAUCGCAGGCUGCAACCCGCCUGCGUGAAGUUGGAAUUGCUAGUAAUCGCAGAUCAGAAUGCUGCGGUGAAUACGUUCCCGGGCCUUGCACUCACCGCCCGUCA
rnacentral:rRNA from 1 species